ensembl:lincRNA
CGUGACGUCACGGGCCACCCGCCAGCCCCGCGCUCUACCAGGCAGAGCGCGUGCGGCCGCCGAGCACAUGGACCCACUGGUCAAGCGGGCUCGGCAAGGCCAGGAUGAAGAGAAGCUACGAACUUAGCAUUCCCAGAGCCCCCCGAGUGGAUAUCCGCGUGGAAAGGAUGUUGGCAGCCCCGGUGACCUCGGAGUCACGGCUGGAUCCACCCUCUUGUCUGAUUUUCUUAACUCUACUACGGUAAGAAGAUGCCCUCCAUCAGCAGGCCGUGUCUGCUGGGACCUCUCUGGAGACUUCCUGAACCCUGUGGAUUUACAGUAAGAUGCAGUUUCCUGGGGAGUAAUUCUGGUGGAUACAAAUUCCGGAGUAUUACACCUGGCUUGCCUGGAGAUGUUACAAGUAGCUGGAUGGAUUCUUCAGCCUGGAUGCCCACUGAAAACAAGGACCGAAACUGAGAGGAUUGUAUCUCUACCCUUGACUCAAUGAGAAUGUUUGUUGUCAUCUCUCGGGCUACCUGGAGCUCCCUCUAAAAUUAUACCCUUUAAGCGUUCCAGAAGGAUUUUGAGAUCCUUUCCUAAAUCAAAGGUGGAAUAUUUGGGGAUUUGGAAAAUUGAGCCAGUCUCUCAGAAGAACCAGUUGUGUUACUUUGCUGUGAGAUGCCUGCCCUAAGAGAGGAGCAGAAGGUCGGAACGGGUCCUCUAAUGUGAUAAUUAGAUGAGAAGCGUUGACUUAAGAGAUGCCAAGUAGCUCAGCAGAUGUCACACAGACGAUAAAUAGCAAAGAUGGAAGUCUUCAUGCCGGAGGCAAUCCUAUAAGACAGUUGAGUUCUGCAGAGCUGGUAGGAGACAGACUUGCUCAGGUGAUAGAUCCAGCCAUGAUACUGACCCUAAGAGAAUGAGACGCUCUGCAGAAGACAGAAGAUUCCUGAAACUGGGAAAGGUGCCUAGAAAUCCUGAGAAGAGUGAAGAAGGGUACCUGGAGGCACAGCAGCCAUGUUGAACCUAUGAGGUGAUGAAAAACCAUGCAACUAGAAACCAGAAUGGAAGAAAAGAAGAAGCUGGAUCCUUGACUGAAUUGUCGAUGGGGGAUAGUCCAUCAUCCCAGGGCUAAGACCACCUCCAGAUUUCUUGUUUGGUGAAACAAGUCCUGAUUGUUUACAUUCCCUCGUGUUGAGCUGUCUCUUGCUUGUAGCUGAAAGCAUUUCUAAUAGAUAUUCAGAUUAUCAGCCUUAGCUCCAAGCUAGAAUACUCUAUGGGACCUUAGCUUCUCCAUGAAUUCCUUUGCUCAUCUGUGUAAUGCUCAAUAAAUGUAAAUUGAACCCUGAAUGAGGGACAAUGACAC